AAAUAUUAAGGCGCCUAUAUUCCCUUUUCUGCAGGUGCAUAUUCAUCUCAAACGGCACUUGAUGAGUGAUCUUCCGAAAUCAGAUGAUUCUGUUGCACAGUGGUGUAAGGACGCUUUCGUGGUCAAGGAUAACUUAUUGGAUAAGCAUAAAGAAAAUGAUAGCUUUGGUGAUGGAGAACUACAAGACACUGGUCGACCGUUGAAUUCUCUUGUGGUUGUCAUCUCCUGGGCAUGUCUUCUCAUUUUUGGGGCCUUAAAAUUCUUCCAGUGGUCCUCAAUACUAUCUUCUUGGAAGGGUCUUGCAUUCUCGGCAGUUGGCCUAGGCAUAGUUACGGUUCUUAUGCAGAUAUUGAUUCAAUUUUCCCAAUCAGAGCGUUCCAACCGUCCGAUGCUGUCGAAACAUGCAAAACCACCCCAAUGAAGGCCAGUAGUAGGAGAGAACCUGCAUAUACUAAGAGAGGUGCAACAGUUACCUCAUUAGGCUUGUUCAAUCCUUCACACAAUUGAGUCCUUCAUCUGUAGUGAUAUUUGUGAAAUAUGACAUUCGCUGUACAACUUUAUGCUCCUCAAGGGAUGUCCAUGUUGGACCUUGUAUACU